rnacentral:RNase_P_RNA from 1 species
GCCGGAUAAUCGCGCCCUAACAGGUGAGGAAAGUCCGUGCAUCCAAGGACAGAUUGCCGGAGAAACUCCGGACGGCGUAAGCCGGUGGACAGUGCUACAGGAAACAUACUGCCGAUGGAUUUUUUAAUCACAGGCGAUGGUGCAACGGUGAGUUAAGAGCUUCACCAGCAAUAUUGAGAAAUAUUGGCUAAGUAAACCCCAAUCGGAUGCAAGAUUAAUCGGAAGGCUACGAGGUGUCCGCCCACUUCCAAAAAAUCGCUAGAGAUUGAAAGUAAUUUCAAUACCAGACAGAUGAUUAUCUUAAAACAGAACACGGCUUAUGAGCUGCUUUA